UUCACUCUCAUUUCCUUAUCCACUUCUCCCCCAAAUCAACAGCCAUGGCUGCAAGCCUCACUCCCUUCCCCGUCUCCCCUCCCUUCAUUCCCAUCAACAUCAAACAAACCCCCACCUGCUUCUCAAACCCUAAUCCGCCUCCGGUGUCAACCCUAAGCGGAUUCCUUCGGCGGCCUCAUCAAUUUGCCAAGUGUUGCAGAGCAUACAAAGUCACACUCGAGCACGGGGAAGAGCAGCGGACAUUAGAAGUGAGUGGGGAUGAAACGAUACUAGGGCGAGCACUGGAAGAGGGAAUUGAAGUGCCCCAUGAUUGCAGGUUAGGGGUUUGCAUGACCUGCCCUGCUCGCCUUGUCAGCGGCACCGUUGAUCAGAGCGAGGGCAUGCUAAGUGAAGACGUCAUCGCGAGAGGAUAUGCUCUCCUCUGCGUCUCAUACCCACUCUCCGAUUGCGUCAUCCGUACUAUACCGGAAGAUGAGCUUCUUUCCCUUCAGCUUGCCACGGCGAAUGAUUGACUUGAUGUUUUCUAGGUGUUCCGUCAAAUGCUUCCGUGAGAUUCAGAGUGGUGGUUUCUGAAUGCGGACAGGAGAGGUUGACCAAUGCUAUUGCUAUGGAGGAGGCUUUCUAUAAAUAAAAUGUUGUUGGUCAUCACUUUGUUGAUGAUGAUAGAAAUACUUCUUAUGACCGUGCUUUUAUUAAAAAAAGAAGAAUGGGCAAUACUAUUAACAGGAUCAAACAAAAUAAUGGAAAUAUCUUUCUUUCUCUUGAUCUCAUUGAGGCAGAUGAUAUUGUUUUUUAUACAAAGCUGCUUAACAGUGACAGUAGGGUGCUGGCUGGAAUUGAUAUGGAUUUUUUUGCAGAUGAUGUUGAUGUUGCGGGUAGUAUUGAUCUUGUUGUCAUUCAUGAUAGUGAUGAGAUCAAGAAUGAUGUUAAUUCUUAUUGGUUGUUAAUAUUUCAUGUUUUAUUUCUCUUGUUA